UACGAAGGGGGCUAGCGUUGUUCGGAUUUACUGGGCGUAAAGAGCGUGUAGGCGGCCACGCAGGUCCGUUGUGAAAACUGGAGGCUCAACCUCCAGCUGUCGACGGAAACCGUGUGGCUAGAGUCCGGAAGAGGGUCGUGGAAUUCCCAGUGUAGAGGUGAAAUUCGUAGAUAUUGGGAAGAACACCGGUGGCGAAGGCGGCGACCUGGUCCGAUACUGACGCUGAGGCGCGAAAGCGUGGGGAGCAAACAGG
rnacentral:rRNA from 1 species